GAUGAACGCUGGCGGCGUGCCUAAUACAUGCCAGUCGAGCGAACAGACGAGGAGCUUGCUCCUCUGACGUUAGCGGCGGACGGGUGAGUAACACGUGGAUAACCUACCUAUAAGACUGGGAUAACUUCGGGAAACCGGAGCUAAUACCGGAUAAUAUAUUGAACCGCAUGGUUCAAUAGUGAAAGACGGUUUUGCUGUCACUUAUAGAUGGAUCCGCGCCGCAUUAGCUAGUUGGUAAGGUAACGGCUUACCAAGGCAACGAUGCGUAGCCGACCUGAGGGGGUGAUCGGCCACACUGGAACUGAGACACGGUCCAGACUCCUACGGGAGGCAGCAGUAGGGGAUCUUCCGCAAUGGGCGAAAGCCUGACGGAGCAACGCCGCGUGAGUGAUGAAGGUCUUCGGAUCGUAAAACUCUGUUAUUAGGGAAGAACAAAUGUGUAAGUAACUAUACACGUCUUGACGGUACCUAAUCAGAAAGCCACGGCUAACUACGUG
rnacentral:rRNA from 1 species